CUGCGGAAGGAUCAUUAUUGAGCUUAACAAUUCAUUUGUUGAAAAAAUUGUUUUUAAACAAUUUUUCCAGUUGAUUCGAUCUUGACCAAAUCGAAGCUUCAACUAAGAAAACGGCAUUGAUCGGUUUCUGAAGGCGUUUGGAGCAGUUGUAUGUGCGUGGCUGUGGUGAUAAACGUUUUACUACUACUUCCUGUGUAGUAAGAAUUAAAGAAGUUGGGCUGUGACUCGCCGUUCGUAAAUAAAUUACCAUUUGACAUUUGUAACGUGAAACGUUAAUUGCGCUCAGGUGCAUUUAAUUGAUGAAUAAUGAACAAGUCUUGUCGGUGGAUCACUUGGUUCGUAGAUCGAUGAAGAACGGGGCAAAAACCGUUAUAUAGCGUGAAUUGCAGACAUAUUGAACGCUAAAAUUUUGAACGCAAAUGGCACUAACAGGUUUAUAUCUGUUAGUAUGUUCAAUUGAGGGUCGAUUAAUUCGUUACUUGCAAUCAGCGUUGACUGAUUGUUUUUUCGAUUAGUUAAUUGUGCUACUUCUGUGUGGUAUGAUUACCUUUUCGGUAUGGUUGUUACGAUAGUUUAAUAAACGUUGGGCUUGCUUAGCGUUUGCUAUCUUAUCGAAUCUUUGCAAGGUAUUAGUUUUGUUUGGCGCGUGCCAACUGACUUGUACACGAGCGUUCGUGUAUGUAAAUUAGUGAAUCUGGUUAAAGUCAGUUCAAGACUAUAAGUUAGUUUAACAUGUUUUGUGACUAACGUGUUCUUUUGCUUAGAUUAAAAAAUGCUCGAUAUUUUCGAUUGCGACCUCAAUUUGAGCAAGAUUACCCGCUGA
rnacentral:rRNA from 1 species